rnacentral:lncRNA from 1 species
AUUUUUCCCAAUUUUUCCCAAUUUUUCCCAUUUUUUUCCCCAUUUUUUUCCCCAUUUUUUUGGCGUUUUUGACUCCGUUUUUCCUUCCCCUUCGUUGCUCCCUAUGGGUGCUCAAGGGGGGGAAAUUUGGGAAAAUCCCCUCAAAAUAACCUGGAAUGAAUUCCCAACUUUUCCCUCAUUUUUCCCAAUUUUUCCCAAUUUUUCCCAAUUUUUCCCGAUUUUUUUCCCCAAUUUUUUUUGCAUUUUUGGCUCCGUUUUUCCUUCCCUUCGUUGCUCCCUAUGGGUGCUCAAGGGGGUGAAAUUUGGGAAAAUCUCCCCAAAAAUAACCUGGAAUGAAUUCCCAACUUUUCCCCGAUUUUUCCCAUUUUUUCCCCAAUUUUUCCCAAUUUUUCCCCAGUUUUUCCCAAUUUUUUCCCAAUUUUUUCCCCAUUUUUUCCCCAUUUUUUUCUCCUUUUUUCCCCAUUUUUUCCCAAUUUUUCCCCAAUUUUUCCAGAUUUUUUUCCCAAUUUUUUCCUCAUUUUUCCAGGUUUUUUUUCCCAAUUUCCCCCCAUUUUUCCCAAUUUUUUUCUCAUUUUUCCCCAUUUUUUCCCCAUUUUUUUCCCCAAUUUCUCCCCAAAUUUUUCCCAAUUUUUCCUUUUUUCCCAAUUUUUUUCCCCAUUUUUCCCCCAGUUUUUUUCCCAAUCCUCCUCCACAUUUUUCCCAAUUUUUCCCAAGUUUUUACUCAUUUUCCCAGUUUUUCCCCAAUUUUCCUCCAUAUUUUCCCAAUUUCCCCCGAAUUUUUUUCCCAUUUCGUCCCCAGUUUUUCCCAUUUUUUUUCCCCAAUUUUCCUCAUUUUUUCCCAUUUCUUCCCCAAUUUUCCCAGAAUUUUUUCCCCAUUUUUUUUACCAUUUUUUCCCAAUUUUUUCCCCAUUUUUUCCCCAUUUUUUCCCCAUUUUUUCCCAGUUUUUUCCCAGUUUUUCCCAAUUUUUUCCCAUUUUUUCCCAAAUUUUUCCCAAUUUUUUUUCUCAGUUUUUCCCAAUUUUUUCAGAUUUUUUUCCCAUUUUUUUUUGCGGGAUUUUCCCAUUUUUUCCCCAUUUUUUCCCAAUUUUACCCAAAUUUUUCCCAAUUUUCUUUCUCAGUUAUUCCAAAUUUUUUCAGAUUUUUUUCCCUUUUUUUUUUGCGGGAUUUUCCCAAUUUUUCCCCCAAUUUUUCCUUUAUUUUUCCUUUAUUUUUCCCCAAUUUUCCCCAACUUUUUCCUCAAUAUUUCCCAAUUUUUUCAGAUUUUUUUCCCAUUUUUUUGCCAGAUUUUCCCAAUUUUUUUUCCAUUUGUCCCAAAUUUUUCCCCUUUUUUUUUGCAGGAUUUUCCCAAAUUUUUUCCCAAUUUUCCCCUUUUUCCCCCCAAUUUUUUCCCCCAUUUUUUUCCCAAUUUUUCCCCAUUUUUCCCAAUUUUCCCAUUUUUUUCCCCAUUUUCCCUCCCCAUUUUUGCUCCCUGUGGGUGCUCAGGGUGGGAAAUUUGG